AGGGCUUACGAUAGAAUACAGUCCAAAGACCUUCAAAGUCUUAAGCGGGAGUGAAAGCCUCUCAGCCCUUG
rnacentral:tRNA from 1 species